UGGCGGACGGGUGAGUAACGCGUGGAAAACCUGCCGUAUACUGGGGGAUAACACUUAGAAAUAGGUGCUAAUACCGCAUAAGCGCACAGCUUCGCAUGAAGCGGUGUGAAAAACUCUGGUGGUAUACGAUGGUUCCGCGUCUGAUUAGCUAGUUGGUGGGGUAAUGGCCUACCAAGGCAACGAUCAGUAGCCGGCCUGAGAGGGUGAACGGCCCACAUUGGGACUGAGACACGGCCCAAACUCCUACGGGAGGCAGCAG
rnacentral:rRNA from 1 species